rnacentral:rRNA from 1 species
UGAGCGACCUGCCGAUCAGAGGGGGAUAGCCGGCCCAACGGCCGGGUGAUACCGCAUACGCUUUCGGAACCGCAUGGUUCUGUAAGGAAACCUCAGGGGCUGAUCGAGGGGCUCGCGGCCUAUCAGCUAGUUGGCGGGGUAACGGCCCACCAAGGCAACGACGGGUAGCUGGU